CUCCUACGGGAGGCAGCAGUGAGGAAUUUUGCGCAAUGGGGGAAACCCUGACGCAGCAACGCCGCGUGAGUGAAGAAGGCCUUCGGGUCGUAAAGCUCUGUCAAGUGGGAAGAACCCUUUCGGUGUUAACAGCACCGGGAGCUGACGGUACCACUGAAGGAAGCACCGGCUAACUCCGUGCCAGCAGCCGCGGUAAUACGGAGGGUGCAAGCGUUAUUCGGAAUUACUGGGCGUAAAGGGCGCGCAGGCGGCCUGUUAAGUCAGUUGUGAAAGCCCGGGGCUCAACCCCGGAAGUGCGACUGAAACUGGCAGGCUUGAGUAUGGGAGAGGGAAGUGGAAUUCCUGGUGUAGCGGUGAAAUGCGUAGAUAUCAGGAGGAACACCGGUGGCGAAGGCGACUCCCUGGACCAAUACUGACGCUGAGGCGCGAAGGCGUGGGUAGCAAACAGGAUUAGAUACCCUGGUAGUCCACGCAGUAAACGGUGAUCACUAGGUGUUGCGGGCUUUGAUGUCUGCAGUGCCGAAGCAAACGCAUUAAGUGAUCCGCCUGGGGAGUACGGCCGCAAGGUUAAAACUCAAAGGAAUUGACGG
rnacentral:rRNA from 1 species